ensembl:misc_RNA
UCUUGAGUCAAAUGUGGCGACAAUUCUUAGAGCUCGAAGUCCCAAAGCAGUGUCGAGAGAAUAACGGAGCAAGCUGAACUGUCUGGGUGGCAGCAGCAGGUCUUAGCAGAGGUGAACACUCAGUAGAAAAUCUGUGGUGUCGCUAGCCACAGCACUGAAGCCAAAGCCAGGCAACUUUUUGCUGUGCCGAGCCCCA